rnacentral:rRNA from 1 species
AACGAACGCUGGCGGCAUGCCUAACACAUGCAAGUCGAACGAGACCUUCGGGUCUAGUGGCGCACGGGUGCGUAACGCGUGGGAACCUGCCCUUAGGUUCGGAAUAACUCCUCGAAAGGGGUGCUAAUAUCGGAUAAUGUCUUUGGACCAAAGAUGUAUCGCCUUUGGAUGGGCCCGCGUUGGAUUCGCUAGUUGGUAGGGUAAAAGCCUACCAAGUUGACGAUCCAUAGCUGGUCUGAGAGGAUGAUCAGCCACACUGGGACUGAGACACGGCCAAGACUCCUACGGGAGGCAGCAGUGGGGAAUAUUGUACAAUGGGCGAAAGCCUGAUCCAGCAAUGCCGCGUGAGUAAUGAAGGCCUUAGGGUUGGAAAGCUCUUUUACCCGGGAUGAUAAUGACAGUACCGGGAGAAUAAGCUCCGGCUAACUCCGUG